rnacentral:rRNA from 1 species
CCGGCAAACUCCGCGCCAGCAGCCCCGGUAAUACGGAGGGGGCAAGCGUUGUUUGGAAUUAUUGGGCGUAAAGGGCAUGUAGGCGGUUCGGUAAGUUAAAGGUGAAAUGCCAGGGCUUAACCCUGGAGCUGCUUUUAAUACUGCCAGACUCGAGUCCGGGAGAGGAUAGCGGAAUUCCUAGUGUAGAGGUGAAAUUCGUAGAUAUUAGGAGGAACACCAGUGGCGAAGGCGGCUAUCUGGUCCGGUACUGACGCUGAGGGGCGAAAGCGUGGGGAGCAAACAGGAUUAGAUACCCUGGUAGUCC